CCAUCCAUCCAUCCAUCCAUCCAUCCAUCCAUCCAUCCAUCCAUCCAUCCAUCGAACCCUUCGAGUCUUAUGGUUUCCUACCUGUCAAAAAGGAUUUUGCAAAUGCUUUUCUCCAGCUGGAGUUGUUGGGACUCGCCUAACACUGAGUCAGAAGAUUCACCAAAGUGCCUGGCAGGUUCCUAGCUGUUGGGGUUCUCCUUUUAAAAGUUUGGAAGAUGCUGAAUUAAAGAAUUCAACCAAGUGAUUUGCCAAGAGGGACCAGCCUCCAUUCCAGAUGCCUGCUUAAUCAAGACUGUCUGGCCUUUUGAAAUACCAGUUAGUGCUGCACAUGCACCUGAGAUCCCAGGACAGAUGCAAUACUUACCUGGCUUCCUUGAAGGCCCUGACCAGUGAGGCAGCAUGAAACUGCACUAGUGUCAGCAAUUGCCAAUAACUGCAAGCCAGACAUUCCUCCCACUGUGCCACCACAGAAGUUCACGUGUUCAGAACCUUCUUGGGGAGAGAGUACAACAGACGGCAACAUGAGGCUAGGGCCCUUUCUGUGGUCCUAUAUUCUACGACUGUUUCACAACCAAGGAAAACUUUUUGCACCAACUGCAUGCCUCAGCCUUUUGGGCUAAAUACCCCUGGUUCUGUUUUCGCUAACAACAUAAUUUGGACUUCCCAUGGAGUAAGAACUGCCUUCUCCUGGCUGUGCCAUUGACAGUGUGGUAAAUGGUGCACGUGCAGUUCUUGCAAUGGAGCUUAGCACAGCUGCCAGCAGCCUCACUUCUGCACCAGGAAACACAGACCCCAGCUCCUCCUUUCGUACAACAGCUUUUUUGUCUGAGAGAGUUUCUGGGACAACAAAGCUGUUGAAUGUGUACUAAACAGACUGAAAAAUCCUGUCGCUGACUCAUGAACUGUAAUGAGAGCAGCUGUGGAAUAAUCCAGGGGUACCGGUAGAGGACUGCCAACAUGAAUUACGUUAAUUAAGGUGAGUUGUCAAAUCCUUCCCAGUGAGACUGGCAAUGUCGUGGUUUGAACAGAUUGUUCUCUGAGGACGAAUGACAUUUACUCAAAAUAAUAUAGGUGAGGAGAACAAAAGGCUGAAGUACCACUGCAUUUCUCUACAGUGGUGAGUGGCUGUUUUUGCAGUUACUCCAGAGUGAUUUUAAGCUGGUUCAGGCACCUUUGGGCCCCUGAGUGGCUGAGGUGGGACAGCACGCAUCGUGGGCUACAAACUCACCAAGGAACCCACCCAGUUUUUUCUGCGCUUAGACUGUGCUGACUGCUUUCCCAACACAGUGAUGCUGGUCUCGCCAUCUGAGAUAGCAAAGCUCAAACCCAGCUCAGACGUGUCUAUACUUGAUGACGUGCAGUGGAGGCGUGCGACUUCCCUGGCACAUCUAACCCUAAAGGCAUAAGGUUGAUUAUAUUUCUGGUUUUAUUUCCUGACAAGGAAAAUAAGAACAUUACAUUUCAGCAGAACAGGCAUAGCCCUGCAAAAUAUGGCACAUCGUAAGAGAUUAUUUCAUAUGAACUGGGAGGAAAAUGUCAGAAGAUUAAUUUUUAAUGUUUGUGUUUAAAAAUGUCUGGGAGAGUGAUCCACAGGUAGAAGACCUCAUUGUUUAAAACUGAAGAAGCUGCUUGGACCGUUGACUAUGUUACUCUGCCUAACCAAUCUGUAUGCAAAAUCCAAGAGCCAGAUGCUCUCCUGGCUAGACGUGUAAUUCCCAUCAGUGCCAAGGACAGGAACAGUCAUUUAUGAGCUGAGACCCUUGCAACCAACACCAAAAAUCACUUUCUACAGGAAUAUGCAUCAGCUUGGGUAUUUUGCCAUGCCAUUAAGUCUCCUUUCAAAUACAGCUUUCGACUUUGAGAAGGAAUACCGAAGCAAGCAGAACACCAUUUCUCACCAGUAAGGGGGUUUAUGUAUUUUAAGAUGACUUACAGUAUACGAUGGUAGAAGUUUCAAUCUGUGUGUCAAUUGUUCAGAGGAAAUCCUGAAUCCAAUCUUACAAACUCUAGCCACAUGUAUAAAAUAAACCACUUCUGGAAGCUGUCUAUAUGCAUAUGAGCUAGCCAUGCGAAAAACUCAUCAUACCCAACUGCUUUCUGAAUGUAACAUCCUUCUUGCAGGUUGGAAUUACACUGCGUCAUGAUGCUUGUUUUAAAAAGCUUUUUUAAAAGCUUCUGGGCACGGCAGAGAUUAACGUGUGUUUGCGCAGCAGAAUUAAAUGUUACAUCUAAAUUUAUUUUAGCCAAAUUAGUAUAAUUGCUGGGUUUAUCUAGAGUAUUUUUCUCAAUGCUCCAUGUAUACUUGAGAGACAAAGAGCAACUUCAUAGUGAAACGUACAUUUCCUUGUCCAGUUCACACUUGUGAUAUAUUCUGCAGCUAUUAAUUAAAAAGCAGGUAUUAAUGCUUAUUUUCAUGCCAUAAAAUCUUCUGGUUUUUGUUCUCAAUAAGCCUCCAUAUUCUUUUUUUGUUAAGCCAGACUCUUAAAAAACUUUAUACUCAGAGCCCUACACUCAUAUUUAGGAAUAAAUUCCAUUCACCUCAGUGGGCCCCGAUGGGACUUUUGCCUGAGGUAAGACUAGAAUAUGCAAUAUUUUGUUUUGACAAAAACAUCUUCACACAUUUUGAGUUCUUCAGUGCUGACAGUAUUGAUUUUUUCCCCACAUCUUACCAACUCAGUGCAUUGAAUAUUUAAUAAUACAGGUAAUAGAGGGCCCCAUUGUCUGACUCAUGUAGAUAACAGAAUAAUUGAAACCAAAUCUUUGUCCUUCUAUAUAGUGAAUGUAAGGUUGGAAAAUUGAUCGAAAUGAAUACAACAUCUUUCAGAAAAUCCCAUACACAUCAGCAGUAAUGUAAAAGAAGCUAGAAUAAAGUGGACAUUUAAAAAAUAAUAUUUUAAAUUUUAAAAUAUUUUGCUGCCACCUUCUGGAAUUUAAUAAAAUGGGCAUCUCAAAUGUUUGUAACACGGACAUAAUUUAGCCUUCAACAGGAACUGCAAAUGCUAUUACAGAGAAAGAAUACAUAUGUUUUGUCUUUAUUACUUUUUAAAUUCUAAACAAGUAUGUCCAAUUUCACAUUCCCACAGAGAGAUGGAACAGCACAGAUUCAAAUUCAAUGCUUUUAUAUGUGAAUACAAUAGAAAAAAAAUAUUGCGCAUCAAGCAUAACUCUCAACAAAUGGCACGAAUAAUCAGCAGAUUAAGCAUUAUUUGGUCAUAAAGAAACAUAUGCAAGAGAAGCAAGAGGCUGCUCACAGAUGAUACAUAAAUAUCAAUAAUCAAUCAUAAUUAAUUGUUAGUUUAAACCCAAGGUUACUUGUUAGAACGCAGGGCCUCUUUCCCCCAGGUGUGUUGUGGCCUUUGUGUAACCGCACUGCUUUUAAAAUAUAACUCUACAUAAAUAAACAAGAGGCAAACAAGUCCUAAGGCUUUGGGCUCUGUCCUAUUCUCUCCCUAUUUCUGUCAGAAAGAUUUUCUUCUGCUCAACAUGUUAAAAAGUAAUGCAUU